AGAACGAACGCUGGCGGCAGGCCUAACACAUGCAAGUCGAACGCGACCUUCGGGUCGAGUGGCGCACGGGUGAGUAACGCGUGGGAAUCUGCCCUGUGGUACGGAAUAACAUCGGGAAACUGAUGCUAAUACCGUAUAUCCCCUGAGGGGGAAAGAUUUAUCGCCAUGGGAGGAGCCCGCGUAGGAUUAGCUAGUUGGUGAGGUAACGGCUCACCAAGGCGACGAUCCUUAGCUGGUCUGAGAGGAUGAUCAGCCACACUGGGACUGAGAUACGGCCCAGACUCCUACGGGAGGCAGCAGUGGGGAAUAUUGGACAAUGGGGGAAACCCUGAUCCAGCCAUGCCGCGUGUGUGAUGAAGGUCCUUCGGGUUGUAAAGCACUUUCGCACGUGACGAUGAUGACGGUAACGUGAGAGAACGCCCGGCUAACUUCGUGCCAGCAGCCGC
rnacentral:rRNA from 1 species